CUGUGGCUCAGGACUGUUGGUGGCUCGGGGUGGCUCAGGACCACCCGCAGCUUGGGGUGGCUCAGGGUGGCUCGGGGCCACCUGCUACUGUC